CCCUUAGAUGUUCUGGGCCACACGCGCGUUACACUGAUGAAGCCAGCGAGUAUAUCGCCUUCACCGGAAGGUGCGGGUAAUCUUGUGAAACUUCAUCGCGCUGGGGAUAGACCAUUGCAAUUAUUGGUCUUGAACGAGGAAUUCCUAGUAAGCAUGAGUCAUCAACUCGUGCUGAUUACGUCCCUGCCCUUUGUACACACCGCCCGUCGCUACUACCGAUUGAAUGGUUUAGUGAGAUCUCGGGAUUGGAGACGUUGCGCCGCAAGGCACAUCGUCCUCGAGAACUUGAUCAAACUUGAUCAUUUAGAGGAAGUAAAAGUCGUAACA
rnacentral:rRNA from 1 species